CAUUAUUGAAAUAGCACGACGGGAAGCUGUUGCUGGCCCUAGUGGCCGUGCACGCUUUCUGUCCUUCAUUUCUCCAUCUAUUUGUGCACCUCUUGCGUAGACCCCUCUGUUAGGACUGCUUUGCAAAAUUGAUUGUGGGCUUUCCUUGUUUCUACGUCGUCAUAUACACCAGUGUAAUGAUUUGGAAUGAAUGGAAUUUUGAUGCAAUAUAUAAAGCACAACUUUCAGCAACGGAUCUCUUGGCUCUCGCAUCGAUGAAGAACGCAGCGAAAUGCGAUAAGUAAUGUGAAUUGCAGAAUUCAGUGAAUCAUCGAAUCUUUGAACGCAUCUUGCGCUCCUUGGUAUUCCUAGGAGCAUGCCUGUUUGAGUGUCAUAAAUAUCUCAACCGCACCCUAUGGUGGUGUGGCUUGGAUUUGGGGGUGGCAGGCUUAGUCUGCUCCCCUGAAAUACAUUGGCGGUGCCCGACGUGAUGUGAUAAAUUAUCCGCAUCUGUUUAUGAGCUGCCGUGUUGUGUUGGAGUUGAUAAACUUGACCUCAAAUCAGGUAGGACCACCCGCUGAACUUAAGCAUAUCAAUA
rnacentral:rRNA from 1 species